rnacentral:tRNA from 3 species
GGAGAGGUGGCCGAGCGGUUGAAGGCGCUGGUCUCGAAAACCAGUAUUGGAUUAUUCUAAUCGUGGGUUCGAAUCCCACCCUCUCCG